AGCCGAAACGGGAGCAUCCGCUCCCGUCCGCCAGUAUGGCUGGCGCUGAUGAGGCUGAUAAGG
rnacentral:hammerhead_ribozyme from 1 species